GUCACAUUAGUUAGUUGGUGGGGUAAAGGCCUACCAAGACUAUGAUGUGUAGCCGGGCUGAGAGGUUGAACGGCCACAUUGGGACUGAGACACGGCCCAAACUCCUACGGGAGGCAGCAGUAGGGAAUUUUCGGCAAUGGAGGAAACUCCGACCGAGCAACGCCGCGUGAACGAUGAAGUAUUUCGGUACGUAAAGUUCUUUUAUUAGGGAAGAAUAAAUGAUGGAAAAAUCAUUCUGACGGUACCUAAUGAAUAAGCCCCGGCUAACUAUGUGCCAGCAGCCGCGGUAAUACAUAGGGGGCAAGCGUUAUCCGGAAUUAUUGGGCGUAAAGGGUGCGUAGGCGGUUAAAUAAGUUUAUGGUCUAAGUGCAAUGCUCAACAUUGUGAUGCUAUAAAAACUGUUUAGCUAGAGUAAGAUAGAGGCAAGUGGAAUUCCAUGUGUAGUGGUAAAAUGCGUAAAUAUAUGGAGGAACACCAGUAGCGAAGGCGGCUUGCUGGGUCUUUACUGACGCUGAGGCACGAAAGCGUGGGGAGCAAACAGGAUUAGAUACCCUGGUAGUCCACGCCGUAAACGAUGAGUACUAAACGUUGGGUAAGACCAGUGUUGAAGUUAACACAUUAAGUACUCCGCCUGAGUAGUACGUACGCAAGUAUGAAACUUAAAGGAAUUGACGGGACUCCGCACAAGCGGUGGAUCAUGUUGUUUAAUUCGAAGGUACCCGAAAAACCUCACCAGGUCUUGACAUGCUUCUGCAAAGCUGUAGAAACACAGUGGAGGUUAUCAGUUGCACAGGUGGUGCAUGGUUGUCGUCAGCUCGUGUCGUGAGAUGUUGGGUUAAGUCCCGCAACGAGCGCAACCCUUAUUGUUAGUUACCAGCACGUAAUGGUGGGGACUUUAGCAAGACUGCCAGUGAUAAAUUGGAGGAAGGUGGGGACGACGUCAAAUCAUCAUGCCCCUUAUGACCUGGGCUACAAACGUGAUACAAUGGCUGUUACAAAGGGUAGCUGAAGCGCAAGUUUUUGGCGAAUCUCAA
rnacentral:rRNA from 1 species